CCACUUAGAUGCAAACUCAUCCCAGGAAACUUCCGAAGGGAAGGGAAAAUCAAAACCUAGUUGAUUCGUAUCUACCUCGUAGAGGGCGUCAAUGUCAACUUUACGAGCAUUGAAAGGGCCAACCACAACUUAAGUAUGCAGAAGUAUGUUUGACUUGAGCUCAACAGUGAGACUGCUUAGAGUUUCAAGAGUCUCCUUAUUGAAUUGUUCUAAGGCUACUGCUUGUUUCUACUUUAAGCUCGCUAUCGCAGCCUCAUGUUCUACAGCGAUUCG
rnacentral:lncRNA from 1 species